ensembl:lncRNA
ACUCCUGUAACUGCAGCCACCAGUAACAUCUGGCUUCUCUCAUUACAGACUUACUCCCAGUAGUGUUCAACAGUCCCUACUGGCAUUAUUUCUCUGCUAGGACUCUUCAAAGGUUUGGGGUGUUCUGACACAGUGAAACAAGUAUCACACUGCCAGGAAACGUGGAUGCCAUGGCUGGAUGCCCUAUUCAAAACCUCUGUUCAUGAACAAGAAGGCCAGAGGUGCAGAGCAGCAGACACAAUCCCUGGUUUUAUUAUAAAACAGUGCUAUCCCAUUGUAACAUAUCACGUUUAUUUUAGUCAAGCAAGACAACAUACGCACAGCAUAAACUCAUCCAGCGCUCUGCAUCAUUGAUUGGAUAUCACAGAACUACAGAACAGCAGGGGCUGGAAGGGAACUCAAGAGAUCAUCGAGUCCAACCCUUCUGUAAAGCAGGCUCCCUACAAUAGGUUGCACAGCUCCCCUUUAGAUAGUAACAGGCCGCUCUCAGGUCACCUCGAAGCCUUCUCUUCUCCACUCUGCACAGCCCCAUAGGAGAGGUGUUCCACCUCUGGGAUCAUUUUUGUGGCCCUCCUCUGGACACACCCCAACAGCUCCAUGUCUCUCCUGUACUGAGGACUCCACAUCUGGAUGCAGUACUUCUGGAAUUCCUAAAAUAACUGGAACAAUAGCAGAAAAAGAUGGAGAAAUGAACAUACUCAAUCCAGCAAAAUCAGAAAAUUAAACUUGGAAGGUUUACUUAUUUUGCCAUUCCUCUUUAAUGGGAUCUAGAUAUUUCCUCCCAGCUGACUGCACACAGUGUCUCCCUCCUCCCAGACUCUAUGCCACAACCUCCAGGCUUCUUGUCUUGGCUUCCACCUGAGCUAUUCCCCCAGCCACUGCCACCUUUUCCUCUUCAUCUAGUAAAGGCAACUCUGCUCACUAGUAAAUUCAAAGCAAUUUUCUAAAAUGAGAAUUGGAUUUAUAUGGCCCCUGUCAUCCACUGCACAGGUUUAUGUAUAAUCUAGUAAUUUCCAAGGGAGCCUGAGAAUAUUCAUGAUAAAAUUCACUACAUAAAUAAUGUAUUAUUUAUUUAAAUCCAAAUCAAUGAUAUCUGAUGUUCAGAGGGUUGUGACAAUUUUCUUACAAGCUGUAAUUAAUCUUUUUAGGAGCAACCAAGCAACUUCCCUAAAAUUGUUUAGCCAGUUUUUGACCAAACCUCAGGAAUAUAGGUCAAAUUGAAUUACCACAAUUACCCUUUGCUCUCUGCUUCAUUCUGUGUUUCAGUCAUUCACUUGUCACUGUGGAGCAUUAUUUAAAGAAGAAAAGCUUUCCAUUCUGUCUGGGCAUAAAAGACUCGGUGAAAAAGAAUGCAUUUUUAUUUUGGGGUUGCCCUUACCUUCAUUUCCUUUCACUCUUUAUCUGCACAUUGCUAUGGCAAUGUUACUAAGGCAGGAAGACAGAUGUCAACUGGCUGUUUUAGGAAAAUAACAAGCAAGCAUCUACAUGAAAUUUCUAUGCAAACCUAUUAGGACCCAAACUUUCUGAGGAUUUUCCUUCUUCCCACUGGAUACACAGCAAAUUUCCACUCCAUGUUUGGUCUCAUCCCCUUUUUAUUAGCUUGCAUAGAAUUUGUGGGAUGUUUGCUUUCCUUUAGCACAGUGCAAGCUUGGUGGAGGAGGACAGUGCUUUACUGCAAUUACCCAUGGGCAUCAAUUAGUUUCUCUUCUUUCAUCUACAUUCUCCUGGUAUGCAGUAAUGAUGCUUUGGUCACGCUGAAGAACAGAUAUUAUCAUUAGGACUCUCAAAUACAUAAACAUUUCUGUCCACCUCGAGAGAGUAAUGCGAGGAAUAAACGCGAACUGGAGCUCAAGUGCAUUGUACCACAGCUGCAGGGUUAAAUACGUAUGCGGGUUAUUUUUCUGCUUCAUCACACAGUUCUGUGAGUAAUAUAGUUCAGAACUGAUGUUGCGUCACCUUGUGGAAUUCACAGCUACACAGCAUCAGUCAGAGCCAGAUCAAACCUACUGCUCGAGGCAAUGACUUUUUGGUCUCAGCUUGCCAUGUUUCAGAAAUGUGGUUUCUUUGCACAAGCUAGACUUACUGGACUAGAAAAUUCAUCAAGCUGUUCCUUUCAAUUAGCCAUCACGAUGCACAGAAUGAGUUUCAGCACUUCCCAGCAUUCCAUACAGGCUUCUGAAGAUCAUUUUGAAGUAGGCAAAGCCAGAGGGAGGAUCAGGUAGGUCACUGCCAUUAAAAACACUUUAAUCGGCUUCUGUGGAAGUGAAACUGCUGAUUGCUCAUUAAUGCACCCACCAUCUUUCCAUAUUCAAGAUUACUUUGAAAUCAGAUCUUGACAUAUCUACUCCCUUUACUUUUGUACUUUCUGCUCAAGUGAGAGCAUGAGAAACUCAUUUAUUCAGCAUCCCCUUCCAUGGUCUUAGUAGGAAGCAAAUGUGUCAAUUUUAUUCUUGAUUGAUACCAUGUCAGUUGAGGUUAUGAGUGCAUAUAUUUACUGUCUGGAAAACUGAGAAGCUCUGGAAAAGAAACAAAUCAAACUGAAAAAAUGUCAAGCUAAAACCUAUGCAUGCAUAAUAAAUCAAAAUACUGAUCAUAGAAUCAUAGUAUCGUAGAAUUGCUCAGGUCGGAAAAGACCUUAAAGAUCAUUGAGGCCAACCACAACCUGACCAUCCUACCCUAACUCUAACAACCCUCCACUAAGGCAUGUCCCUGAGCACCACAUCCAAACGGCUUUUAAACGCAUGCAGGGAUGGUGACUCAACCACCUCCCUGGGGAGCCCAUUCCAGCCCUUAACAACCCUUUCUGUAAGGAAGCGUUUCCUGAUAUCCAACCUAAACUUACCCUGGCACAACUUGAGGCCCUUUCCCCUCAUCCUGUCACCUGUCAGCAGUGAGAAGAGACCAACCCUGAUACUGAAAUAAAGCUGAUUAGUUUACUAAGAUACAUAGCAGAGAAGCAUAGUAAGCAUAUACAUGCUUGGGUCCUGCAUCUCACUGAGGGACAAAGAAAGAGACAUUGUUUGUAAGCAAAAUGAUAGAAGCAAGACUUCAAGGUAACCUUCAGACUAACAGAAAUAGCAGGCAAGAGGAAGAACUCUGGGGGGGGGAAAAAGAAAAAAAGCCUUCUAAAAGACUAUCAUCAUGUGUGCCAGUUUAGCCAGGGUAAAGCAAGGGGAAAAUGAAUUAUGCCGAUGCAAAUAUCUGAAUAUAAGAAACAUCAAUGAUGGGCUGAAACACUAAGGCUGCUACAUUGAACAAUAAAAUGAAAUUAAAGUAAGAGCCCUUACUAUGCUUAUUACAAGAAGAAAAAUUAUGGUAAAUUAUGUUAGGCUAUGGAAAAUGUCACAAACAAAAACUAAAAGUGAAAGUGUUUAGAGAAGGAAAAGAGCAAUGUUGGGUCUUUUUUUAAUGUAAAGUCAUUCUGAAGGAGAAAUAGCAAUGUAGAAAUUAGCACACAACACUGAUCUUACAGCAUUUUUGUCAAAAUCUUUUUGUCUACUGCAACAGCGAAUGUGUUCAAAAACUGCAGUAAUGUAAAUGUAGCAGUGGUAACCGCAGCCAAUAACCAUUUUGUUAAUAAGAUGGAAUCUUGGCAGGUCCUUGUAAACACUGACACACUUUUCCAUUUGAUGUAGACAUUGAGAAAUGCAACUUCAGGCUAUUUAUGCAACUUUUAAAAGCGAAAGUUUUAGGCAGUAUUCUCUCAGUUUCAGCCUCCCUGCUAAUAUGCCAAGGGAAGGCAGGCCCACAGUAAUUAGAGCAGCGGGGUGCUCUCAUUAAUCACCACCCUAACGGCAUAGCAGCGUGCCCAAAAUGCUGCAACAGAUCAGUGUCUGCAGCCAAGCCGUCCCUUCAGCUCUGUGGGAUGCAGGAUUCAGCACAGGGACUGUAUCAGAAGAAAUUCUCAAUAUUUUUAAACCAUCCACAGCCAUUUUCAUUAACCAACGCAUUAUGAUUGAAACAGUGACAGCGUGACAAAGGCUGCAGAUUUUCAGAUAGGUGUGCGGAACAAAAUGGUAGAAAGCCUGCAGCAUGUCUGUACAUACAAUUAAAAUGAACAGACUACAAAGACAGAUGUAGUCCCCCCUGACCUUAAUGAUGUUGAUGUGUACAUAUGAACCUUCCCACUCAGCUGCUGAUAAGGAAUGACAGACAAUACUACAAAUUAGUGAAGGUCAAUAGAGCAGGAGGCAGCAGUUAGUCAAUUACAAAUGCAAACCCUCUCCUAAAGCGCCAAGUUCUGUGUUUUCUCAGUAUAAUCAACUGCCUGAGUCACAGAGUGUAAUAAAAUUGACCUGUUUUUCCUUUGUCUAAUUGACUGAUGCCUGGAAUUGCAUGAACUUUAGGUGUGCUAGAAUUUAAGCCUGUAUUCAUGUAGCAAAAGGCAGACAUCUAAUUAGUCUGUCUUUGUGUCUAAUGGCUGUUUCUGCAAUGUACUGGUCCAUCCAACCAUGACAAAGUCUUUGCUUUGAAGGUGUUUGCAAAAUAAUAAUAAAAAAAAUUGUU